rnacentral:rRNA from 1 species
AGGAUGAACGCUAGCGGCAGGCUUAACACAUGCAAGUCGAGGGGCAGCACGUCUUCGGAUGGUGGCGACCGGCGCACGGGUGAGUAACGCGUAUGCAAUCUACCUUUUACUGGGGCAUAGCCCGGGGAAACCCGGAUUAAUAUCCCAUGGUACCAUGAUAUAGCAUUAUAUUUUGGUUAAAGCUUCGGCGUAAAAGAUGAGCAUGCGUCCUAUUAGCUUGAUUGGUAAGGUAACGGCUUACCAUGGCUUUGAUAGGUAGGGUCCUGAGAGGGAGA